rnacentral:misc_RNA from 1 species
GAUGAAGAACGCAGCGAAAUGCGAUACGUAAUGUGAAUUGCAAAUUCAGUGAAUCAUCGAGUCUUUGAACGCACAUUGCGCCCCCUGGUAUUCCGGGGGGCAUGCCUGUCCGAGCGUCAUUGCUGCCCUCAAGCACGGCUUGUGUGUUGGGCCCCGUCCUCCGAUCCCGGGGGACGGGCCCGAAAGGCAGCGGCGGCACCGCGUCCGGUCCUCGAGCGUAUGGGGCUUUGUCACCCGCUCUGUAGGCCCGGCCGGCGCUUGCCGAUCAACCCAAAUUUUUAUCCAGGUUGACCUCGGAUCAGGUAGGGAUACCCGCUGAACUUAAGCAUAUCAAUGCGGAGGA